GACGUAGGGCGCGAGCGUUGUCCGGAUUUAUUGGGCGUAAAGAGCUCGUAGGCGGCUUGUUGCGUCGACCGUGAAAACCCGUGGCUUAACUGCGGGCUUGCGGUCGAUACGGGCGGGCUGGAGUUCGGUAGGGGAGACUGGAAUUCCUGGUGUAGCGGUGAAAUGCGCAGAUAUCAGGAGGAACACCGGUGGCGAAGGCGGGUCUCUGGGACGGUACUGACGCUGAGACGCGAAAGCGUGGGGAGCGAACAGG
rnacentral:rRNA from 1 species